GUCCAGACUCCUACGGGAGGCAGCAGUGGGGAAUAUUGCACAAUGGGGGAAACCCUGAUGCAGCAACGCCGCGUGAGUGAAGAAGUAUUUCGGUAUGUAAAGCUCUAUCAGCAGGGAAGAGAAUGACGGUACCUGACUAAGAAGCCCCGGCUAACUACGUGCCAGCAGCCGCGGUAAUACGUAGGGGGCAAGCGUUAUCCGGAUUUACUGGGUGUAAAGGGAGCGUAGACGGCAGUGCAAGUCUGGAGUGAAAGGCGGGGGCUCAACCCCCGGACUGCUCUGGAAACUGUACGGCUGGAGUGCAGGAGAGGUAAGUGGAAUUCCUAGUGUAGCGGUGAAAUGCGUAGAUAUUAGGAGGAACACCAGUGGCGAAGGCGGCCUGCUGGACGAUAACUGACGUUGAGGCUCGAAAGCGUGGGGAGCAAACAGGAUUAGAUACCCUUGUAC
rnacentral:rRNA from 1 species